AAGCUCGUAGUUGAAUUUCGGGGUUCUACCGUUGGUCGGGCUAACCAGUCUGUACUAGCGUGUAGAACUCCUACCUUCUGGGGAACCAUCAUGUUAUUAAUUUAGCGUGGUGGGAAACCAGGACCUUUACCUUGAAAAAAUUAGAGUGUUCAAAGCAGGCUUACGUCUGAAUACAUUAGCAUGGAAUAAUAAAAUAGGACGGUGGUCCUGUUUUGUUGGUUUCUGAGUCACCGUAAUGAUUAAUAGGGAUAGUUGGG
rnacentral:rRNA from 1 species